GCGCGCCGGGUAGAUUGAAAGGCGCCAGCCAACGCUGUACCAUGUUUCCCAUGGUUGUAAUUCCGGCAAUCUCGAGGCGUUCUGGACAGGGGUUCGACUCCCCUCAUCUCCACCUAAGCGCACCGGAAUGCGUUCAGGUGGGGAUGUACCGGUUUCGACAGGGCGGGCAAAGGUGCGCAGGCAACU
rnacentral:tmRNA from 1 species